AUCGCUUCUUGGCCUUUUGGCUAAGAUCAAGUGUAAUAUCUAUGCACCAAACAUUAGUGCACCCAAUUAUAUAAAACAAAUACUAACA
ensembl:snRNA U2 U2 spliceosomal RNA